ACGUACCCGGGAGUGGGGGAUAACUAUCCGAAAGGAUAGCUAAUACCGCAUAUUCUGUGCGCAGGAAAGCAGGGGAUCUUCGGACCUUGUGCUCCCGGAGCGGCCGAUGUCAGAUUAGCUAGUUGGUGGGGUAAAGGCCUACCAAGGCGACGAUCUGUAGCGGGUCUGAGAGGAUGAUCCGCCACACUGGAACUGAGACACGGUCCAGACUCCUACGGGAGGCAGCAGUGGGGAAUUUUGGACAAUGGGCGCAAGCCUGAUCCAGCCAUGCCGCGUGAGUGAAGAAGGCCUUCGGGUUGUAAAGCUCUUUCGGCCGGGAAGAAAUCGUACGGGUUAAUACCCUGUGCGGAUGACGGUACCGGCAUAAGAAGCACCGGCUAACUACGUGCCAGCAGCCGCGGUAAUACGUAGGGUGCGAGCGUUAAUCGGAAUUACUGGGCGUAAAGCGUGCGCAGGCGGUUUUUUAAGAUAGGCGUGAAAUCCCCGGGCUCAACCUGGGAACUGCGCUUAUGACUGGAAGACUAGAGUAUGGCAGAGGGGGGUGGAAUUCCACGUGUAGCAGUGAAAUGCGUAGAGAUGUGGAGGAACACCGAUGGCGAAGGCAGCCCCCUGGGCCAAUACUGACGCUCAUGCACGAAAGCGUGGGGAGCAAACAGGAUUAGAUACCCUGGUAGUCCACGCCCUAAACGAU
rnacentral:rRNA from 1 species